AGCUGCUGAAGUGGUUACUUGCAACAGCCACGUUUGCCAAUAAGGUCUGACUUUCCGAGCCGGAGCAUCAAAGAGCAGCCUGGAUCAGAGGGCAGCGGACACAGCCUGCUGAGCAGGAGCUGCAGCAAACACCAGUGCUCUGCACCAGCUGGCCAGAGUGGUGAACAAUGGUCUGCAACAUACUGUUUGUAUUGAUCUUGUUAAUAGAAAACUGGAAGAAGCUGCAAGGGACACUGACCCUAAGUGAGCAAUUCAUCAAGAGAACAACAAAGGCUGGAACCGAAAGAUAAAACAUCCAGAAGAAAUUUGUCUUCCUGAAAACAUAUAACUUCCCAGAGGGAUAUAUUCUGCCCUUGGAUGAAUGUGUGCAACUGUCAGAAGAGAGACUUUUUUUCUGCAAGAAGCUUUGAAUUUUGCAUAAUCGUUUAACAAAGGAAGAGUGUUGUGUUUUGUUUUGUUCUCUGUAAUAUUAUUAGGCCUAUGACAAAAAAAAAAAAAACAACAACAAAACCCAAACCAACCAACCAACCAAAAACAACAACAAAACCAGUGCAAGAAACUCCAACAACAACCCUGAGGAUCUUUGUUUUGUUUGAACCUAAAAGCAUAAGUUGUGCUAAUUGUGUACAUGACUUGAGACCCUUGAGCUUGGAUCACUUGGGAAUACCUAAUUCUCUUCGGAAAAAAAAAGUGGGCUGUUCCACCUACUAACUGAAUUGAUUUGAAAAAGUCUGAAUGAAUAUAUAUGAGAUAAGGAGAUAAAAAUACAAAAGAAAAUUUACCCUUUACUAAUUUCAUUCCAUGUUUCAGAUGGUUCACAAGUCCUGUAUUAUGUACUAAAGUAAAUGCAAUGGUGGAACAGUAUUUCAAUAGUCAUCUUGUAGUCAUGAGUAUAAUUUUUUUUGGUUGCUGUUAUGAACCUGUAACUCAACCAUUUGCCAGUUUAAUUUCUGUUGUCUUUUUUUUUUUUUAGUGCACAUACCCACCCAUGUCGACUGGAUGUGAGGUUCUAGUUUUUUUGCUGUAAAUGAAAUUUAUCCGAGUGUACACAUAUCUUCUAUCCGUUCUUUGCCUUCUCAGUGCAUUUAUAAUUAGGAAGCUGUUUGAAAAGCCUGUCGUUGCUUAUAAAGCCAUGGCUUAAGUUCCAUUGUGGAAACUCUGGGCCAGCAGAUGACAGAGACAACACUGGUUAUGGCUGGACUAUGUGUGCUUUUCCACAGUUUACUCUUCCCAGUGCUCAGCGCAUCCUCUGUCAAAAUGAUCCAUGUUGUCUGAAAGUCCCAUUAUAACCUGUUCAAACUAAUCCUACUCUUCCUGACUGGAGUGUGAUAAAAAUCAGGGCUAGACAGGGUGGAUGUACAGGAACCUCCUGCAAUAAGGAAGUGAUAGUUAUGACAGCUGAAAAGAGUCAGUCAGAGGCAGAAGACAGAGAACCUGCUGUCAAAGUGUUUUGAAGAAAGUAGAAUUCCUGUGGUGCAAAGUUCAACGGCUGUCCUUGCAGAGAAGUGCUGCAGUGAGUGAAGCUUCUCCUUCUAUCCUGUGAUCAGGCCAGUGCUGCGAUUGAUGGCCUGAUGUAUUUCUACACCAUAUCUGCUGGCAACGAGCUGGCAGGAUUUAGCUGUUUUAUGCUUGUUUAUAAGGCAAAGUAUAGUAUCAUGUUGGCAUUCAAAACUCUUAUGCUUUAGAGCAAUGAGUCAACUGUAACCAGCCUACUUUAGAAAAAGGGCUGGUUACUUCAGUGAUCACUUUUUUAUUAGCAGGAGAUGAUGAAGAUGUGGUCAGUGAUGCAACUUAAACUGUGAAACAUAAUCCACUGCUACUUAAGCAUUUACAGCACAGAGAAUGGGGUAUUUCUUUUGUUCUUGCAUGGCAGUCAAGUGAGCCCAUCAUCUGGAAUAAUGAGUCACACCAUACAGAGUCACUUCUUUGAUCUUAAACAACUAAAGGGUCUGUAAUGACCAGAAUACCUAAACUGUGAUUCCUUUUCACAAGCAGUUUAUUCUUUAUUCAUUAAAUAGUAAAUAAAAGUCUCAUUCUUUUCUAACAUACUCAUUGUCCUUCUCCUUGACAUCAGGAAAUAUAGGCUAUUGACUACUAGUGUCUUCCUUUGACGUAGCGUUGCUUGCCCGCAUUCUGAAAUAUACCUUCUACAAUUUCCUUUCACAGAAUCACAGAAUCACAGAAUGUCAGGGAUUGGAAGGGACCUCGAAAUAUCAUCUAGUCCAAUCCCCCUGCCAGAGCAGGAACACCUAGAUGAGGUUACACAGGAAUGUGUCCAGGCGGGUUUUGAAUGUCUCCAGAGGAGACUCCACAACCUCCCUGGGCAGCCUGUUCCAGUGUUCU